CUUUCACCCCUUGACGGUAUCUAACCAGAAAGCCACGGCUAACUACGUGCCAGCAGCCGCGGUAAUACGUAGGUGGCAAGCGUUGUCCGGAUUUAUUGGCGUAAAGCGAGCGCAGGCGGUUUCUUAAGUCUGAUGUGAAAGCCCCGGCUCAACCGGGGAGGGUCAUUGGAAACUGGGAGACUUGAGUGCAGAAGAGGAGAGUGGAAUUCCAUGUGUAGCGGUGAAAUGCGUAGAUAUAUGGAGGAACACCAGUGGCGAAGGCGGCUCUCUGGUCUGUAACUGACGCUGAGGCUCGAAAGCGUGGGAGCAAACAGGAUUAGAUACCCUGGUAGUCCACGCCGUAAACGAUGAGUGCUAAGUGUUGGAGGGUUUCCGCCCUUCAGUGCUGCAGCUAACGCAUUAAGCACUCCGCCUGGGGAGUACGACCGCAAGGUUGAAACUCAAAGGAAUUGACGGGGGCCCGCACAAGCGGUGGAGCAUGUGGUUUAAUUCGAAGCAACGCGAAGAACCUUACCAGGUCUUGACAUCCUUUGACCACUCUAGAGAUAGAGCUUCCCCUUCGGGGGCAAAGUGACAGGUGGUGCAUGGUUGUCGUCAGCUCGUGUCGUGAGAUGUUGGGUUAAGUCCCGCAACGAGCGCAACCCUUAUUGUUAGUUGCCAUCAUUUAGUUGGGCACUCUAGCAAGACUGCCGGUGACAAACCGGAGGAAGGUGGGGAUGACGUCAAAUCAUCAUGCCCCUUAUGACCUGGGCUACACACGUGCUACAAUGGGAAGUACAACGAGUCGCGAAGUCGCGAGGCUAAGCUAAUCUCUUAAAGCUUCUCUCAGUUCGGAUUGUAGGCUGCAACUCGCCUACAUGAAGCCGGAAUCGCUAGUAAUCGCGGAUCAGCACGCCGCGGUGAAUACGUUCCCGGGCCUUGUACACACCGCCCGUCACACCACGAGAGUUUGUAACACCCGAAGU
rnacentral:rRNA from 1 species